ACCCUCUCUCCUCCUCCAGCUCUGUGGCUUCACGGAACGCUGUGGUGCCAUCCUCUCACUGUCCUCAGAGUAGUCCAGACUGGCAGGGCUCCAGCAAUUCCUGCAGAGCCUGCUCCCGGGGGUGACCGAAACUCCCACCGCCGACCCAGAGGAGGCUGAGGUUGAGGCUAUGUGCGCCGCUUCCCCACUGAUGCACAUGAAGGCUUCCUCGCAGCCCUCACCACUGCCAACCAGGAUGGCAGAGUCAAUCUGAGCCGCCAAGGUACUGAGCAGCCUGGCUGGGCUGCUUCCUG
rnacentral:lncRNA from 1 species